AUACUUACCUGAUCGGGGAGAUACCGUGAUCACGAAGGUGGUGUUCCCAGGGCGAGGUUUAUUCGUUGUACUCGGGAUGUGUUGGUCUCUGCGAUUUCCCCAAAUGUGGGAAGUUUGACUGCAUAAUUUGUGGUAGUGGGGGACUGCGUCUGCGCUUUCCCUGG
ensembl:snRNA U1 U1 spliceosomal RNA